rnacentral:rRNA from 1 species
UACGAAGGGGGCUAGCGUUGUUCGGAAUUACUGGGCGUAAAGCGCACGUAGGCGGAUCGAUCAGUCAGGGGUGAAAUCCCAGAGCUCAACUCUGGAACUGCCUUUGAUACUGUCGGUCUAGAGUAUGGAAGAGGUGAGUGGAAUUCCGAGUGUAGAGGUGAAAUUCGUAGAUAUUCGGAGGAACACCAGUGGCGAAGGCGGCUCACUGGUCCAUUACUGACGCUGAGGUGCGAAAAGCGUGGGGAGCAAACAGGG